GAAAAAUGUAAAAUUGAAGAAUACUCUUAUAAAGUAUGGACCAUAACGUUUUUGCUUACUCUUUCUCUCCCUUUCUCCUCUGAUGUUCUUCCGAGGUGGCAAUCUGCACCACCACCACCGGAUCAAUGCACCAAGCAGCCCCCCGACAUGAUGGAAUGGAGAAAGAAAGAUGCACCGCCGCUAUGACUCUGCCUGACUCACUAACCACACAUCGCCAGUUCCGCCCUUCCUCUGUCAAUUCCUGAUGAUGUCAGCUAUCCCAACAUCCAUCUUGGCUCCUUCCCAGCAUACCUCUCUGUCUACUUCCAGUCUCUCUUCAUAAAUAUUCCCCACUCCGCCAUUU